rnacentral:tRNA from 1 species
GUAGUUAUGUCAGAAGGUAUAUGAGUUAGCUUUAAGCGCUAAUUAUGGGUUUAACCCUAACUACU